rnacentral:rRNA from 1 species
AGUGAACGCUGGCGGUAGGCCUAACACAUGCAAGUCGAACGGCAGCACAGUAAGAGCUUGCUCUUACGGGUGGCGAGUGGCGGACGGGUGAGGAAUACAUCGGAAUCUACUUUUUCGUGGGGGAUAACGUAGGGAAACUUACGCUAAUACCGCAUACGACCUGCGGGUGAAAGCAGGGGAUCUUCGGACCUUGCGCGAUUGAAUGAGCCGAUGUCGGAUUAGCUAGUUGGCGGGGUAAAGGCCCACCAAGGCGACGAUCCGUAGCUGGUCUGAGAGGAUGAUCAGCCACACUGGAACUGAGACACGGUCCAGACUCCUACGGGAGGCAGCAGUGGGGAAUAUUGGACAAUGGGCGCAAGCCCGAUCCAGCCAUACCGCGUGGGUGAAGAAGGCCUUCGGGUUGUAAAGCCCUUUUGUUGGGAAAGAAAAGCAGCAGGUUAAUACCCCGCUGUUCUGACGGUACCCAAAGAAUAAGCACCGGCUAACUUCGUG